GGGAAUACCUUCUCAAGAAUUACCUUAGCUCUGUUCUCUUUCACCCUUGUUUCGAUCAGACAACCGAACUGAUAACCCCAGUUUCGAACCCAAUCCUUCACCACCAGAUGUUUUGAAAAUUUGUUAAACCCUCUGAUGUUCCAGAAGAAUCCAGACAUUAUAGAGGGCGAGAUUUAUUUUUAUUCAGAUCGCUAAGGCAUGCAUCCUGAGCUCUCUGAACAGACUUAUCAUCCAAAACCUUAUGUUUCAUCUUAGAUUCUCUAGGAAGACUCUGACGGGGAACAACAACUGUCUCCUUUCCUGCCACACAAGAAGACUCAUCAUCCUUCAAACCCUCAGCUUCAUCCUCAUCCUCUCUUAUUUGUCCUUCCUCUUCUGAGCCCAAAACUGCAAAUCUUGAGUUAGUGAGAAU
rnacentral:lncRNA from 1 species